GAUAAACGCUGGCGGCGUGCCUAAUACAUGCAAGUCGUUCGAUUGGAUGCCCAGCUUGCUGAAGAGGAAAUAGAGGCGAACGGGUGAGUAAUACGUAAGCAACCUGCCCACGAAGACCGGGAUAAUCCCUGGAAACGGGGACUAAGACCGGAUAGGUAACAGAACCGCAUGAUUUUGUUAUUAAAGGUUAAAAACACUGGUGGAUGGGCUUACGGUGCAUUAGCUUGUUGGUGAGGUAACGGCCCACCAAGGCGAUGAUGCAUAGCUGGUCUGAGAGGAUGAACAGCCACAUUGGGACUGAGACACGGCCCAGACUCCUACGGGAGGCAGCAGUAGGGAAUUUUCGGCAAAGGGGGAAACCCUGACCGAGCAACGCCGCGUGAGUGAAGAAGGUUUUCGGAUUGUAAAGCUCUGUUGUAAGGGAAGAAAUGUACUGUGAGAAACAGUACUUGACGGUACCUUACCAGAAAG
rnacentral:rRNA from 1 species